GAUGAACGCUGGCGGCGUGCCUAAUACAUGCAAGUCGAGCGAACAGACGAGGAGCUUGCUCCUCUGACGUUAGCGGCGGACGGGUGAGUAACACGUGGAUAACCUACCUAUAAGACUGGGAUAACUUCGGGAAACCGGAGCUAAUACCGGAUAAUAUAUUGAACCGCAUGGUUCAAUAGUGAAAGACGGUUUUGCUGGCACUUAUAGAUGGAUCCGCGCCGCAUUAGCUAGUUGGUAAGGUAACGGCUUACCAAGGCGACGAUGCGUAGCCGACCUGAGAGGGUGAUCGGCCACACGGGAACUGAGACACGGUCCAGACUCCUACGGGAGGCAGCAGUAGGGAAUCUUACGCAAUGGGCGAAAGCCUGACGGAGCAACGCGGCGUGAGUGAUGAAGGUCUUCGGAUCGUAAAACUCUGUUAUUAGGGAAGAACAAAUGUGUAAGUAACUAUGCACGUCUUGACGGUACCUAGUCAGAAAGCCACGGCUAACUACGUG
rnacentral:rRNA from 1 species